GGCGAACCGGGGGAACUGAAACAUCUAAGUACCCCGAGGAAAAGAAAUCAACCGAGAUUCCCCCAGUAGCGGCGAGCGAACGGGGAGGAGCCCAGAGCCUGAAUCAGUGUGUGUGUUAGUGGAAGCGUCUGGAAAGGCGCGCGAUACAGGGUGACAGCCCCGUACACAAAAAUGCACAUACUGUGAGCUCGAUGAGUAGGGCGGGACACGUGGUAUCCUGUCUGAAUAUGGGGGGACCAUCCUCCAAGGCUAAAUACUCCUGACUGACCGAUAGUGAACCAGUACCGUGAGGGAAAGGCGAAAAGAACCCCGGCGAGGGGAGUGAAAAAGAACCUGAAACCGUGUACGUACAAGCAGUGGGAGCCUCUUAAUGGGGUGACUGCGUACCUUUUGUAUAAUGGGUCAGCGACUUAUAUUCUGUAGCAAGGUUAACCGAAUAGGGGAGCCGAAGGGAAACCGAGUCUUAACUGGGCGUUAAGUUGCAGGGUAUAGACCCGAAACCCGGUGAUCUAGCCAUGGGCAGGUUGAAGGUUGGGUAACACUAACUGGAGGACCGAACCGACUAAUGUUGAAAAAUUAGCGGAUGACUUGUGGCUGGGGGUGAAAGGCCAAUCAAACCGGGAGAUAGCUGGUUCUCCCCGAAAGCUAUUUAGGUAGCGCCUCGUGAAUUCAUCUCCGGGGGUAGAGCACUGUUUCGGCAAGGGGGUCAUCCCGACUUACCAACCCGAUGCAAACUGCGAAUACCGGAGAAUGUUAUCACGGGAGACACACGGCGGGUGCUAACGUCCGUCGUGAAGAGGGAAACAACCCAGACCGCCAGCUAAGGUCCCAAAGUCAUGGUUAAGUGGGAAACGAUGUGGGAAGGCCCAGACAGCCAGGAUGUUGGCUUAGAAGCAGCCAUCAUUUAAAGAAAGCGUAAUAGCUCACUGGUCGAGUCGGCCUGCGCGGAAGAUGUAACGGGGCUAAACCAUGCACCGAAGCUGCGGCAGCGACACUAUGUGUUGUUGGGUAGGGGAGCG
rnacentral:rRNA from 1 species